rnacentral:rRNA from 1 species
GACGGAGGAUGCAAGCGUUAUCCGGAAUGAUUGGGCGUAAGGCGUCCGCAGGUGGCAGUUCAAGUCUGCUGUCAAAGACCGGGGCUUAACUUCGGAAAGGCAGUCGAAACUGAACAGCUAGAGUAUGGUAGGGGCAGAGGGAAUUCCUGGUGUAGCGGUGAAAUGCGUAGAGAUCAGGAAGAACAUCGGUGGCGAAGGCGCUCUGCUGGACCAUAACUGACACUCAGGGACGAGAGCUAGGGGAGCGAAUGGG